GUUGUAUGGUUAAGUGACUAAGCGUACACGGUGGAUGCCUGGGCAGUCAGAGGCGAUGAAGGACGUACUAACUUGCGAUAAGCGUAGAUGAGGCAGUAAGAGCCACUUGAGUCUACGAUUUCCGAAUGGGGAAACCCAACUGCAUAAGCAGUUAUCUCAAUGUGAAUUCAUAGCAUUGUGAGGCGAACCGGGGGAACUGAAACAUCUAAGUACCCCGAGGAAGAGAAAUCAACCGAGAUUCCGGCAGUAGCGGCGAGCGAAACCGGAUUAGCCCUUAAGCUAAUCUUGCGUUAGGUGAACAUGCUGGAAAGCAUGGCAAUAAAGGGUGAUAGCCCCGUAACCAACAGCGC
rnacentral:rRNA from 1 species